GACGAACGCUGGCGGCGUGCUUAACACAUGCAAGUCGAACGGAAAGGCCAGUGCUUGCCCUGGUGCUCGAGUGGCGAACGGGUGAGUAACACGUGGGUGAUCUGCCUUGCACUCUGGGAUAAGCUUGGGAAACUGGGUCUAAUACCGGAUAGGAACCGUCUUUAGUGUGGUGGUUGGAAAGUUUUUUCGGUGCAAGAUGAGCUCGCGGCCUAUCAGCUUGUUGGUGGGGUAAUGGCCUACCAAGGCGUCGACGGGUAGCCGGCCUGAGAGGGUGUACGGCCACAUUGGGACUGAGAUACGGCCCAGACUCCUACGAGAGGCAGCAGUGGGGAAUAUUGCACAAUGGGCGGAAGCCUGAUGCAGCGACGCCGCGUGGGGGAUGACGGCCUUCGGGUUGUAAACUCCUUUCGACAGGGACGAAGCGUUAUGUGACGGUACCUGUAUAAGAAGCACCGGCUAACUACGUG
rnacentral:rRNA from 1 species